UGGGGAAUAUUGGACAAUGGGCGCAAGCCUGAUCCAGCCAUGCCGCGUGUGUGAAGAAGGCCUUCGGGUUGUAAAGCACUUUUGUCCGGAAAGAAAGCGAAUCGGCGAAUACCCGGUUUGGAUGACGGUACCGGAAGAAUAAGCACCGGCUAACUUCGUGCCAGCAGCCGCGGUAAUACGUAGGGGGCAAGCGUUGUCCGGAUUUACUGGGUGUAAAGGGCGCGCAGGCGGGAUAAAAAGUCAGUGGUGAAAUCCUACAGCUUAACUGUAGAACUGCCUUUGAUACUUUCAUUCUUGAGUUCGGGAGAGAGAGACGGAAUUCCAGGUGUAGUGGUGAAAUACGUAGAUAUCUGGAAGAACACCAGUUGCGAAGGCGGUCUCUUGGUCCGACACUGACGCUGAGGCGCGAAAGCGUGGGGAGCAAACA
rnacentral:rRNA from 1 species